rnacentral:rRNA from 1 species
UACGGAGGGUGCAAGCGUUAUCCGGAUUCACUGGGUUUAAAGGGUGCGUAGGUGGGCAGGUAAGUCAGUGGUGAAAUCCCCGAGCUUAACUUGGGAACUGCCGUUGAUACUAUCUGUCUUGAAUAUCGCGGAGGUAAGCGGAAUAUGUCAUGUAGCGGUGAAAUGCUUAGAUAUGACAUAGAACACCGAUUGCGAAGGCAGCUUACUACACGAUCAUUGACACUGAGGCACGAAAGCGUGGGGAGCAAACAGG